AUAAACUCUUUUUAUAUGUCAAAGAAUUCAUAAUAUCUUGAUAGUAUAUCGUGUCUCUUUCUUAUCUGAUGACAGGAGCGAUGUUUUCAAGUAUAAGCUCCUCACGGUCCCGAGGUAGCCUUGAUUAGGAGUUUCCAUCAAUGCUGGCCUUUCCAGGGAAGGAUGUGUGGAGAGCUUUUAGGGAAAUGGUCUGCACAGAGGAUCCAUUGGUCUGGAUUCCAGCCCAACCAUCUUCCCUAAUGCCGCCUCUGCUCAAUCUACAGCCAUUAUCCACACACAUCAGCUUCCCGCUCUUUUCAGUUCUGGGUCUGCCUAAAACAAACGCGCACCCCUUCCAAUCUACCAUAUUGGAUCUGCACAUUUCUGCUUCUCACCACCAAAGCUGUAAAAAUGUAGCAGAUAUCAGGGGUAUGUUUUUGAUAAUUUAGACAUUAAUUACCAUUUUUCUAUUAAAAAUAUGUUGUUUGUACCCUGAAAUUCAACAGGCUGCUAGCUUUUGUAUUUUCAUUGAAGCACUGUUGUUAUGUAUACUUUACGGAAGGUGGCUGAGUCACCUAACGAAACACUGAGUGUGGUAAUGUAUUUGUGUUGCAACAUCAAUAAAGUUUGGUUCACUUCUUCCAA